GUGUAUGUGUGGUUGGGAUAUAUAGCAGAUACAGCUGCAGCUACGUUUUCGAAUACGAUUCAAAUUCCGAUUUUUCCGAAGAAAGCAGUGAAGACCCCCCAGUGAAGUCGUGUAGAUUGGCGCGUGAAUUUAACGCUUGGCCUAGGUCACGUAUCGCACGUGUUUCUGACAGCAGGCAGGACCUCCCUCGCAGGACCUCCCCCGGCAGGACCUCUGCUCUCUUUUUCGGCGAGUGUGUGUAUGCCUUUGAUUAAGUGUUCGCCCUGCAUGUGUGCGGUUGACAUUCGAUUUACUUUCGCCAAGUUACCGGAAUAAAAAAGGACGAACACUUCCCGCAGACUUCCAACUUUUCGCCAGAUCCAAAAACCUCUUCCUGUGCAUAUGUGCGGUCGAUAUUUGCAUAAAUUAAAAAAAACCAUAGUCUCCAGCGUCCUCGACGGUGGCCUAAUGAGUUUUUAAUACUCUGCCGCGCCAACCGAUUGUCUGUGUGCGAUAGAAAAAAGGACGUAGAACUACAAAAACCCAUUGCCACAGGAUUUUCGGUUAAUUUAUUGAGCCAGCAACGAGUUUAGACCGUGUCCGAAGCAGACCGACAAAAAAAUUAUCCACCAAAGAAAACUAAUUUGCACUUUGAGGAGAACUGAAACGUGGAAAGUUUGUUUGGCUCUCUGAAAAGUUCGUGAAUUUUUUCGGAUAUCGACAAGACCAAGACACACAACAAUUUUCG